GUACCAUAUGUGUUAACCAACCUGAGCUCAGAACAGCUUCAGAAAGGAGAGUCCAGAAUUUUAUUUGAUAUUGUUCCCAGCACUGCUCUGUACCGGAGAACUAACUGCACUAACGUUGCCAAAAGUGACUUCUGUUCUCUCAGCUUUAAAAGAAAUGUGGUAAUACUACCUCUUGUAUCCAACUCCUCGGCAAUCAACUCUGCAGAGUUAAGACCAGGCCGGUUGGAAGGGGUGGCAUGGCUGAGAUAUUUUAAAAGAGGAAGUAAAAAUUAAAAACCCAGUGGAGAAUUUUAAAGGACUUCUUUGAGGGUGACACAGCACUAGCACAGACUGCCCAGAGAGGCUGUGGAGUCUCCUUCUAUGGUGAUACUCAAGACUCAUCUGGACGCCUACCUGUGCGAACUGCUGUAGGGGACUGCUUUAGCACAGGGUUGGACUGGAUGAUCUGCAGAGGUCCCUUCCAACCCUCCACGUUUCUAUGAUUCUGAUUCUGUGAAACAUAUUUUCUGAAAUAGGAUUUGACCUGAAUUUUGAGAUCUAUACUUGCAAUUAAUUUAUGAGGUAUUUUUGUAGUCAUCAUUGACCAGAAGCUUGAGUUCUUUGACUAAGCUGCUCUGGAAAGUGUGGUAAUUUAAACAGAAAAGGUCUUCUGUUGCCAUGAUUAAUAAUUAAUUAUAUAUUGACUCUGAAAGAUGUCUUGCUUGAAUUUCUUAUAGCUACUUAAGUAUGCUCUAAAGUCUUUUAUCUUGUUACUAUUUCUGGUCACUGCUUACUCGGAACCUUAAAGUUAGAUACAGACCGAAAAAAUAUAUGUAAACUUAUUGAUAUUCAAGUAGAUAAUUUAUUUCCUUCAGAAUUCAUGCAAAAUCAGUAUACAGAUGUGAUAAAUUAAAACCAUUCUGUUACGUGCAUAUGUGUGUUAAGAUGCUUAUUUAUGUUAUGGCAGUUUGGGCCAUCAUGUCUUAUGCAUAGCAGCUAAACACUUCAUUAAGUAAUAUCCUUUUUCAAAAUCAUUUUUUAAUGAUUUCUUACUGUUGAAAGUACUGACUGUUCAGAAUUACAACCUUCCACAUAGUGGUGGUAAGCAAAAAUAAGGGAGUAUUUUAGUUAUAAAUAUUUAGGUGAGUAACUGUGUAAAAAACUGUCUAAUUUAUGUUCUUCGUGAUGAAGUAGUAUGGGGCCAAAUUCCAAACUUAUGAGUUUGAAAAUGUAAUUCAGUGUCUAGUGCGGCUUAAUGGCCAUAUGUCUGAGAGAAAGAAGUGUAGUCCAAGAG
rnacentral:lncRNA from 1 species